rnacentral:rRNA from 1 species
CAGCCUGCGAAAAGUAUCGGGGAGCUGGCAACAAGCUUUGAUCCGGUAAUGUCCGAAUGGGGAAACCCACCCGCUUGCGGGUAUCCUGCAGUGAAUACAUAGCUGCUGGAAGCGAACCUGGUGAACUGAAAUAUCUAAGUAACCAGAGGAAAAGAAAUCAACCGAGAUUCCGUAAGUAGCGACGAGCGAACGCGGACUAGCCCUUAAGCUGAUUUGGUUCUAGGAAAACGCUCUGGAAAGAGCGGCCAUAGAAGGUGAUAGCCCUGUAUCUGAAAGGGCCAUUUCAGUGAAGACGAGUAGGGCGGGGCACGUGAAACCCUGUCUGAACAUGGGGGGACCAUCCUCCAAGGCUAAAUACUACUGACCGACCGAUAGUGAACCAGUACCGUGAGGGAAAGGCGAAAAGAACCCCGGAGAGGGGAGUGAAAUAGAACCUGAAACCGUGUGCGUACAAGCAGUAGGAGCUCCGCAAGGAGUGACUGCGUACCUUUUGUAUAAUGGGUCAGCGACUUACUGUUCGUGGCAAGCUUAA